CUUUGUGAACAGAUGUGCUCCUAUGCCGUACAUUUCCGUUUAUCUUCCAAUUCAUCAAUCGUCCUUUCUAGCUCGCCUGCUGAUCUCUCAGCAAACCCAGCAGGGAUCUCUGCCUCCUUGAGAGUCUCGUAAAGAAUCGUUAUCUCUUUCUCAUCUUUGUCUUCUUUCUGCGAACACUGUCCGUCAGCAGCGCUCACAGUCUUCAGGUUCUGGUCCCUCAGACUGACCUGCUCAUCCACCUGUCCACAACCCGACUCGGCCCGCUCAGCUCAUUCCUCUGCAAGUUCCAGGUCUCCCUCAAAACUCAUCCAGACACAGUUGAAUUGAAGAUUUGGCUGUGACUCUUCUCAUAGAAGGAUCCAAUGGAAGAUGAAAAUAAAGAAAGGGAAACCUGGAAGGAUGCUUGUGACUGCCAGAAAACUUAAAAGACAUCUCUGUGGCUUCCACUGUGGAGAUAGGCCUGUUAGAGGAUAUGAUGAUGACUUCUGCUGACCUUCUACCUCUAUCCUGCACCAUCU